rnacentral:lncRNA from 1 species
GCCGGGCGUGGUGGCACACGCCUUUAAUCCCAGCACUCGGGAGGCAGAGGCAGGCGAAUUUCUGAGUUCGAGGCCAGCCUGGUCUACAGAGUGAGUUCCAGGACAGCCAGGGCUAUACAGAGAAACCCUGUCUCAAAAAAAAAAAAAAACAAAAAAAAAAAAAGAACACUUAAGUUUAGUUGGUCUACAAAGUGAGUUUCUUUUUUUUGUUGUUUUUUUUGUUUUUCGAGACAGGGUUUCUCUGUAUAGCCCUGGCUGUCCUGGAACUCACUUUGUAGACCAGGCUGCCUCGAACU